AACGCACCUUGCGCCCUUUGGUACUCCGAAGGGCAUGCCUGUUUGAGUGUCAUGAACCUCUCCAGCUCUCUGUUUUGUUUACUCAAUGCAAAGGUGCUUUGGGAAGCUGGAUGCAUGCAGUGUAAACUGCUCAUCUGAAAUGUAUUAGCACAAAGGCUUGCGGUAUUAGCUGGAACCUUGAUCUGAGUAUGAUAAUUAUCUUUGCUCUUUUCCUGAUAUCCCUUCUGCAAUUGUCUUAGCUUCCAAUCGAACAUUGUUCAUUUUCAACUUUGGCCUCAAAUCAGGUAGGGCUACCCGCUGAACUUAA
rnacentral:misc_RNA from 1 species